AAAAGUGCAAAAAAGAGUGAUUUGUUACUAGAAUAAGCUUAAAGCACAGAUUCUUCUUUUCUGCUGCACAAUAGUGUCUAGUUCAGGGGUCUGCAACCUGCUGCUCCAGAGCUCCAUGUGACUAUUUUACCCCUCUAUAGUGACUCUCGGGUUAAAGAAAAAUCGAAAACUGAAAGUAGUGAAGAAAAAAAAGAAAAUGAAGCAGAAUAAAAUCUAACUUUAUUUAACUUUUUCGCAUGGAACUGAAGAACAGUGCAUAUCACAAGUAGAACUAAAACAUUUUGGUAGAUAUUUGUGCGCCGUGUACCACAGAAGAUCAACUGGAAGUCAAUAAUAACCAGAACUCAGGUGUACCAGAUUAUAAACCAGAUUUUCUAUUUUUAAACAAAUUCAAGGAUUUUAAGUGGUUCAAAAAAUCUCAAUAGGGUCACACAAUUAGCUCUGAUUUAAUUUUGGAUUGUUUGAUUUUCACAUUUCUGGCUGAGACGGUAAAAUAAAUUGUGUUUUGUAUUUUUUUAAUCACUGCUGACAUCACACUACCUACUACUAUAUUUGCUGCCUUGAGAUCUUAUGUGACAUAGGGUGUCUUAUUUUGAAAGGAAGUCAUGUGAACCUCUGUCAAAAGUUAUAAACUUUUUUUAUUUUCACUUUUUUCACGUUUUUUUAUGCUAAAAAAGCAGUAGUGUAUAUUAAUUUAUCAUAAUAAGAAAAACAUAAACAAAAUUCGGUGUGUUGUUUUUUAAGGGUCAAGUCAGUGUGGCAGGAUUAAUUGGCUCAGGUGCUGUAGGGCAGAGGAUUACUAGCAGUGGCCUCAUGGGGCGCUAUAAAGGGCAAAGAAGCCUUCACUCGGCCAGGGGCAGCAUUUGGCCAUUGGAACCGCCCACUUCCUGUUUUCACACCUCCGGCUAGCCUCACAGCUCCGGAUGAGACCUGCAGGCACAGAUUGAGCAAAAUACAGCCUCUGCAAUCGAGCGCGCCUCCCAGGUGACGAACAGUCUGUCUGCGCCGGGGACUUUCUGACGCUCCCACCUGCUGAACAGCUGCUGCUUUUUAUAUAUUGAAUUUUAGAAUUAUUUUAAGGAACUGUCACCGCUCGUGAUCAGAAUCCCUGUAGACUCCUGACCAGGGUUCUGCCGGGCCCGGGUGCUCCUCAGCUGCCUUUGAGCCUGAGCAACGGAGGACUAACGGGGCGUCACGCCUGAAUCCUCCACCAACGAGAAUAAAAGCUCGGCCGCGCUCCGUUCAUUGAGCAGCACCCUACGGGCGGACUUACUCUCACGAGAGUUUCUUUUAUUUUGUUUUUAGCAUUUUUACACAAUUCUUUUAGACCUGUGUUUUAACUGGAUUUUAUUGUGUGAUCCACCUUUGUUUCCCCCCUCCCUCAGUGCUGAGGACUCAGGUGCCAGCCCAGAAUUCUAGGUGGAGGCUAUCCCCCCAGUUUGGAGUGACGUGUCCUUGGGUGAAGGUUUCACAGUGUGUGUGUGGUCUGCAUCACAAGCAGCAGCUGGUUCCGCUUGGAAGUGAGGAAGGUGAUUUGUGCAAGUGCUGAGGACUCAGGUGCCAGCCCAGAAUUCUAGGUGGAGGCUAUCCCCCCAGUUUGGAGUGACGUGUCCUUGGGUGAAGGUUUCACAGUGUGUGUGUGGUCUGCAUCACGUGAGUGGGGUGAAAUUUUAUCUUUGUUCUCUGGGAGCCUCCACCUCCCUUAAGUCUUCUGGUCCUCAGCAUACUGAAUUUGUUGUGUAUGUCUUUUAACGGGUCCAUUUUUAAUUGGUUUUAAUGUUUUGUAAUAAAAUCAUUUUAAUUUUUGUA